AGAGUCUGAUCAUGGCUCAGGACGAACGCUGGCGGCGUGCUUUAGGCAUGCAAGUGGAACGGUCCGGUGUUACACCGGACAGUCGCGAACGGCUGAGUAACACGUAGGAACUUGCCCCUUGGUGGGGAAUAAUCCCGCGAAAGCGGGACUAAUACCGCAUGAGAUGCGUGCUUUGCACGCAGCGCAUAGAACAGAGCUCAUAGUACAUAGAUUAAAUUAUUUGUGCUUUGCGCUUUGCACUGUGUUCUGCAUGCAGAGCAUGCAUGAAAGGGCGUAACUGCCCGCCGAGGGAGAGGCCUGCGGCCCAUCAGCUUGUUGGUAGGGUAACGGCCUACCAAGGCAACGACGGGUAGGGGACGUGAGAGCGUGUACCCCCAGAAUGGCACUGAGACACGGGCCAUACACCUACGGGUGGCAGCAACCGGGAAUUGUGCGCAAUGGACGAAAGUCUGACGCCGCGACGCCGCGUGAAGGAUGAAGGCCUUCGGGUUGUAAACUUCUUUUGGUCCGAUGGAGACGUCGGACAGAAUAAGCGCCGGCUAACUACGUGCCAGCAGCAGCGGUAAUACGUAGGGCGCAAGCGUUGUCCGGAGUUAUUGGGCGUAAAGGGUUCGUAGGCGGUCCGAUGAGUCGCAUUUUAAAGCCUCUGGCUCAACCAGAGAAAAGGAUGCGAUACUGUCGGACUUGGAAGGUUUCGGGGCUACUGGAACUUAUCGUGUAGGAGUGAAAUCCGUUGAUAUGAUAAGGAACACCGAGGGCGAAGGGCGGGUAGCUAGAAACACUUCGACGCUGAGGGACGAAAGCUAGGGUAGCGAAAGGGAUUAGAGACCCCUGUAGUCCUGGCCGUAAACGAUGCUCGCUAGGGAUCCGCCCUGCAAAGAAUAUGUUAUUUGCAGAAAUUAUCAAUUUACUAAUUUCCAAUUUUCAAUCAAUGAUUAAAUGAAAUAAUUUUAAAAUUUGAACAUUGAAAAUUCACUGAAAAUUGAGAAUUGUGUUAUUGAAAAUUAAAAAAACAUAACGUAUUUUUUGUAGGGUGGGUCUCGCAAGCUAACGCGUUAAGCGAGCCGCCUGGGGAGUACGAGCGCAAGCUUAAAACUCAAAGGAAUUGACGGGGACCCGCACAACCAGUGGAGCAUGUGGUUUAAUUCGAGACGAACCGAAGAACCUUACCUAGACUUGACAUGCUAGCUGCACGUUUCGAGAAAUCGGAAUUUCUUAGAGAGUGCUAGCACAGGUGUUGCAUGGCUGUCGUCAGCUCGUGCCGUGGGGUGUUCCCUUCAGUGGGGUAACGAGCGCAACCCCUGCCGUAUGUUAAAUUGUUCAUACGGGACUACUCAGUUUUUUCUGGGAGGAAGCGGGGACGACGUCAAGUCAGCAUGGCCCUUAUGUCCAGGGCGACACACAUGCUACAAUGGAGCCGACAGAGGGUUGCCAAGCGGAAACGUGGAGCUAAUCCCAAAAACGGCUUCUCAGUGGGGAUUGAGGGCUGCAAUUCGCCCUCAUGAACGAGGAAUUGGUAGUAAUCGCGAAUCAGCCAAGUCGCGGUGAAUACGUUCUCGGGUCUUGUACACACCGCCCGUCAAGUUAGUGAAGUUGGGGGCACCCGAAGUCCGGUGGUCACCGGACUAAGGUGAAACCAGCUACAAGAAUUAAGUCGUAACAAGGUAACC
rnacentral:rRNA from 2 species